NCGGAUCUCAGAUCAAGCAAGAGGACCCGCC
rnacentral:rRNA from 1 species